GACGAACGCUGGCGGCGUGCUUAACACAUGCAAGUCGAACGGUAAGGCCCCAGCUUGCUGGGGUACACGAGUGGCGAACGGGUGAGUAACACGUGGGUAACCUGCCCCGCACUUCGGGAUAAGCCUGGGAAACUGGGUCUAAUACCGGAUAGGACCGCACCGUGAGGGUGUGGUGGAAAGUUUUUCGGUGUGGGAUGGGCCCGCGGCCUAUCAGCUUGUUGGUGGGGUAAUGGCCUACCAAGGCGGCGACGGGUAGCCGGCCUGAGAGGGUGGACGGCCACAUUGGGACUGAGACACGGCCCAGACUCCUACGGGAGGCAGCAGUGGGGAAUAUUGCACAAUGGGCGGAAGCCUGAUGCAGCGACGCCGCGUGGGGGAUGACGGCCUUCGGGUUGUAAACUCCUUUCACCAUCGACGAAGGUUUUCUGACGGUAGAUGGAGAAGAAGCACCGGCUAACUACGUG
rnacentral:rRNA from 1 species